rnacentral:tRNA from 1 species
GGAGAGGUGCUAGAGUGGUUGAUUGGGACGGUCUCGAAAACCGUUGUAUGAGCAAUCGUACCGAGGGUUCGAAUCCCUCCCUCUCCGCCA